CAGAUGAGAAUUGCUUCCUGUAGUGAGAUGAUCCAUAGUAGUACAGCAGAGUGUCCAUGAAAACACUUGAGCUUCCUACACACACAGCCAACAGGUAGCAGCAACUGCAGCUGACAUGGAAAGAGAUGGAUUACCGGAUUCACCCGCAUCCAAGGUGAAUCCAUGACCCCAAGCAAGUGGAUGUUGUCAGUCGAAAGGGAAGUUGUCCUUGGCCCAUGUUCGGAGGCAUUUGUUGAAGGCCUGGCAGCAUUGUUUGCGACCUAUUGCAACUUAAACCUUGCUUAACAGGAUGAAGCUGCAUGCACCCUCGAAUUUAUUCAGAGAGGAAUUGUGGGCAUUAACCCGGAAACUGGAUCAAAAGUUGCUGGAAAGAGAGACAACAAAAUGAAAGGAAUGAACCCACAUGUAUGUACACUGCUACGGAAGUUAAUGGACUUUGAAUGGCUUGCCAUUAAAAAAAAAAAAAAAAGUGUUCCAAUGAAAUUGAAGUGAGAGACUCUGAACUGAUUGUCAAGUGCAUUGUUGAUGUUCAAGUUAAUAAUGUACACAAUGUUAAUGUGUCUUGCCCCUUCAUGGAUUUGGCAAUUUAAAGGUAGGCACAGUUCAGACCCUUUCUUUUGUAUUUAUUUAAACUUUGAGUUUAUGAAUGAAGGUCAGUCACACUGUAGAAAUGGGGGUUUUUUUUGGUUUGUUUUUUUUCCCCAAGGCUAAAGCCUUUGUUCUAAUGUGCAAUCUCCAUUUUUUUUUUCUCCAAAUAUGUUUUGGAAAAUGGUGCAUAUGUUAAAUUAACAUUAUUGUACAAUAAAUUGUUACAUUUAUGAAAACCUGUUAUUUUGAAAGGUUUAUUCUUCACAUUACACAUUAAAAUGACAGACUACUGAAAAUU